AGGACGAACGCUGGCGGCGUGCUUAACACAUGCAAGUGGAGCGACGAACCAGGGCUUGCCCUGGGGCAGAGCCGCGAACGGGUGAGUAACACGUGGGUUACCUGCCUUGAUGACCGGGACAACCCGAGGAAACUCGGGCUAAUACCGGAUGUGCCCGCAAGGGGAAAGGAAGCUUCGGCCUCCGCAUCAAGAUGGGCCCGCGGCCCAUUAGCUUGUUGGUGAGGUAACGGCUCACCAAGGCUUCGAUGGGUAGCUGGUCUGAGAGGACGAUCAGCCACACUGGGACUGAGACACGGCCCAGACUCCUACGGGAGGCAGCAGUGGGGAAUCUUGCGCAAUGCGCGAAAGCGUGACGCAGCAACGCCGCGUGGGGGAAGAAGGCUUUCGGGUGUAAACCCUUUCAGUUGGGACGAAGCUUCGUCGGUUAAUAGCCGGCUGGAGUGACGGUACCUUCACAAGAAGCACCGGCUAACUACGUGCCAGCAGUCGC
rnacentral:rRNA from 1 species